UACGUAGGGUGCAAGCGUUGUCCGGAAUUAUUGGGCGUAAAGAGCUCGUAGGCGGUUUGUUGCGUCGGCUGUGAAAUCCCGAGGCUCAACCUCGGGUCUGCAGUCGAUACGAGCAAACUAGAGUGUUGCAGGGGAGACUGGAAUUCCUGGUGUAGCGGUGAAAUGCGCAGAUAUCAGGAGGAACACCCAUAGCGAAGGCAGCUUGCUGGGACGUUACUGACGCUAAGGCGCGAAAGCGUGGGGAGCAAACAGG
rnacentral:rRNA from 1 species